rfam:Ailuropoda melanoleuca scaffold220_44, whole genome shotgun sequence.
GGAUGUGAGGGCGAUCUGGCUGCCAACAUCUGUCACCCCAUUGAUCGCCAGGGUUGAUUCGGCUGAUCUGGCUGGCUAGGCGGGUGUCCCCUUCCUCCCUCACCGCUCCACGUGCAUCCUUCCCGAAGCUGUGUGCUCGGUCGAAGAGGAAGACCUUCCCUGAUAGAGGAGGACCGUUCUUCGGUCAAGGGUAUACGAGCAGCUGUGCUCCCUGCUAGAACCUCCAGACAAGCUCUCAAGGUCCAUUUGUAGGAGAGCGCAGGGUAGUCAAGCUUCCAAGACUCCAGACGCAUCCAAAUGAGGCACUGCACGUGGCAGUCUGCCUUUCAAA